GUUCGGCUCAGUUCAUUUCACCUUAAUAUAAGCGAGUCACUUCGAAGCAAGUCAAUUCAUUUCAGAAGAAAAGAAGUGCUUGGACUGCAAUUGGCAAUGAAUUCAAUGCAAAUGAAGAUGUCACCACAAGAACAGUACAACAACUGCAGGUUAUAUGGAAGAACAUUAAACUGGGAUUAAAAAAAGAGAAUGCAGCAAGCAGAAGAGAGCGAUUUAUUACAGGUGGUGGACCACCAAUAAAGGACACAUGUGAUGAAUUGGGUGACUUGCUGUCUGGUAUAAUAGAGCACCAGCAACCUCUGGAUGGUAUACCAGACAAUGACCAUUUGGACAGUGAACAUGGAGAACUGAACACAAAUGAGGAAACCAAUCAAGAGCCAGUUCACAACGAGCCUGAACCCUCCACAUCUGCUAUGGCACCCCUGGGAGAUGAAGCUGCUACCAUCCAACAGAGACCAAAAAAGAUAACUAUGCAUGAAAAGUUAGCCAGAGAAUUUCAUGAGCGUAAAAUUGAAUAUUUAAAAGAAGAUGAAAAUGAAAUGAAAAUGAGAAUUCUAGAGGUUGAA